UCCCUUGUGGCUCAGCUGGUAAAGAAUCCACCUGCAAUUUGGAAGACCUAGGUUCAAUCCCUGGAUAGGGAA
rnacentral:tRNA from 1 species